rnacentral:rRNA from 1 species
UACGGAGGAUGCGAGCGUUAUCCGGAUUUAUUGGGUUUAAAGGGUGCGUAGGCGGGAUGCCAAGUCAGCGGUAAAAUGUCCGGGCUCAACCCGGGCCGGCCGUUGAAACUGGGGAUCUUGAGUGGGCGAGAAGUAUGCGGAAUGCGUGGUGUAGCGGUGAAAUGCUUAGAUAUCACGCAGAACUCCGAUUGCGAAGGCAGCAUACCGGCGCUCAACUGACGCUCAUGCACGAAAGCGUGGGUAUCGAACAGG